AUGGACGCAGCAGAAGAGACGAGAUUACUGCUCCAAGAGGAUGGGGAUCAGCAGGAUGCAAGUCUUUACACAGGUGAUGGGUCCGUUGACAUCAAAGGCCGUCCCGCAACAAGGCGCGACACAGGCAAUUGGCGAGCAUGCGUCUUCAUCCUAGGAAAUGAGUGUUGUGAGCGUCUGGCCUACUAUGGAAUUGCAAAAAACCUAGUCACUUAUCUCAAAAUAAAGCUUCAUCAAGGCAAUCUUGAAGCUGCAAGAAAUGUUACCACUUGGCAAGGGACAUGCUAUCUGUCUCCCCUCAUUGGAGCCAUCCUAGCAGAUUCUUAUUGGGGAAAGUACUGGACUAUUGCUGUUUUCUCAUCAAUUUAUUUCAUCGGCCUGGCUGUUUUAACGCUUUCAGCAUCACUUCCAGCACUUCAACCACCUUCAUGUUUAGGAACUGUUUGUCCAGAACCAAGCUUACUUCAGAAUGGCACGUUUUUCCUAGGUCUUUAUAUGAUUGCCCUAGGGACUGGAGGUAUUAAACCAUGUGUGUCAUCCUUUGGGGCUGAUCAAUUUGAUGACAGUGAUCCGACAGAGAGAGUAAAGCAGGGCUCCUUCUUCAACUGGUUCUAUUUCUGCAUAAAUAUCGGUGCAUUCAUAUCAGGCACUGUUAUUGUUUGGAUACAAGAUAACUCGGGUUGGGGAAUAGGAUUUGCCAUUCCUACUAUAUUUAUGGCAUUGGCUAUUGCAAGCUUCUUUUCAGCUUCAGAUAUGUAUAGAUUUCAGAAACCUGGUGGCAGUCCACUCACAAGAGUGUGUCAGGUCGUUGUCUCAGCAUUCCGUAAGUGGCAUGUUGAAUUGCCACAUGACACUGCUCUUUUAUAUGAAGUUGAUGGUCAAAAUUCAGCAAUAGAGGGAAGCAGGAAGCUGGAGCACACAACCGAACUUGAAUUCCUUGACAAGGCUGCCAUCAUCUCAUCUACUGAUGCCAAGAGUGACCUCAUUACAAACCCAUGGAGGCUAUGCACAGUCACCCAGGUGGAAGAACUGAAGAUCCUAGUAAGAAUGUUCCCGGUCUGGGCGACUACUAUCAUAUUCAAUGCGGUGUACGCUCAGAACUCUUCCAUGUUCCUAGAGCAGGGAAUGGUUCUCGACAAGCGGGUCGGGUCUUUCAAUGUUCCUCCUGCGUCCCUCUCGAGCUUUGACGUAAUCAGUGUCAUGAUCUGGGUUCCGCUUUAUGACCGUGUUCUCAUACCUAUAGCCAGAAAGUUCACUGGAAGGGAAAAGGGUUUCUCAGAACUACAACGGAUUGGCAUUGGAUUGGUGCUGUCCAUUAUUGCAAUGGUGUCUGCAGCUUUUGUUGAGUUGAAGCGCUUGGAGAUUGCCACAUCUGAAGGUCUUAUCCAUGAGAAGUCUGCGGUUCCAAUGAGCAUUCUUUGGCAAAUACCACAGUAUUUCCUUGUUGGCGCUGCCGAGGUUUUCACUAAUAUAGGUCUACUUGAGUUUUCGUACGAUCAGGCACCAGAUGCCAUGAGGAGUUUAUGUACUGCAUUUGCGCUCGUCAUGGUCUCAGCGGGGAGCUAUUUAAGCUCAUUCAUAUUGACCCUGGUGUCGUAUGUUACAACUCGAGGUGGAGAUCCUGGAUGGAUCCCGGAUAACAUGAAUGAAGGCCAUCUUGACCGGUUCUUUUGGUUGAUUGCAGGGAUCAGCUUUGUGAAUUUGCUGGUUUACAUCAGUUGUGCGAUGAAAUACAAAUAUAAGAAUGUGUGA
rnacentral:rRNA from 1 species